CCUACGGGAGGCAGCAGUGGGGAAUAUUGCACAAUGGGGGAAACCCUGAUGCAGCGACGCCGCGUGAGUGAAGAAGAGUUUCGGCGCGUAAAGCUCUGUCAGCGGGGAAGAAACACGGUUCGCGAGAGCCGCGGACGGUACCCGACCAAGAAGCCCCGGCUAACUACGUGCCAGCAGCCGCGGUAAGACGUAGGGGGCAAGCGUUAUCCGGAUGCAAUGGGGGUAAAGGGAGCGUAGAGGGUGAGACAAGUCAGGAGUGAACGGCCGGGGCCCAACCCCGUGACUGCUCUGGAAACUGCCUGGCUGGAGUACAGGAGAGGUAAGUGGAAUUCCUAGUGUAGCGGUGACAUGCGUAGAUAUUAGGCGGAACCCCAGUGGCGAAGGCGGCUUACUGGACUGUAACUGCCGUUGAGGCUCGACAGCGUGGGGAGCAAACAGGAUUAGAUACCCCUGUAGUC
rnacentral:rRNA from 1 species